rnacentral:rRNA from 1 species
ACAUCCCUAGUUCGGAUUGUAGGCUGAAACCCGCCCUACAUGAAGCUGGAAUUGCUAGUAAUCAUAGGUCAGCAUACUAUGGUGAAUACGUUCCCGGGCCUUGUACACACCGCCCGUCACACCAUGAGAGUUGAGAAUACCCGAAGUCCAUGUCAAAGUGGCCGAAGGUAGGCUUGAUGAUUGGGUGAAGUCGUAACAAGGUAUC